UCUCUCUAAUUCGAGAUUUUCAAUACCAAAAGGAAUUGUGAAUUUUUAUUUUACCAAAGUGAAAAAAAAACAAAAACCAAAGAGAAAAAAUUCUUUAACUAAAGGAUUAAUUUAGGGAAGAAAAAUGAUUGUUGGUCUGAGCUUUCCAUUGAUCCUAAUAUCUCUACUCUGACACUAAUCAAGGAUUUUCCAAAUUGGGGGAUGAGGAGGUGAUAAGACAACAAACAAACAAACAAAUGUCCUCUGCCAUUGGACCAGAGGUCAUUUGUUGCUUCCCAGUUCACUAUGGCCACUCUUGUUGACAUUCUCUGCUUUCAACCUGAACCUGAACUGUCUACUUAGGAGAUGGGCUAAGUCUGAUUGAGGGCCUGAAUAGACCUUCCAGGCCCACUGACUAUUCCAUGUUCAUCUGUGUCU
rnacentral:lncRNA from 1 species